GCGUAGCUGCGUAAGGGAUAGUAACGGAAAUCCUUUUUUGCGCCGGCCUUUGUGGUUGGAAAAAAGAUUGCAGUGGAUAGCCCGACCCGGG
rnacentral:sRNA from 1 species